rnacentral:tRNA from 1 species
GGGCGGUUAGCUCAGUUGGCUAGAGCGCCUGCCUUACAAGCAGGAUGUCGUAGGUUCGAGUCCUAUACUGCCCA